GACGUACCAAGGAAAUUCAAAACAAAACGGAGCACGCUCGCCCCUCCCCCCAUGUUUCCGUAACUGUCAUGACUAACUGACUAACUGUCACUAGCCCACACCCCCUCCCCCAACCAUCUUGUUUGUGAUUGGCUGGUAGGGGUUUGUUGUGUUUUGGUGCCUAUCCUGUGCCUCUAGUGUUGGUUUGACGUUUACGACCCCUGUGUUGUCUCCCGAGACCGGGCUUUUUUACAGUGUGUUCAGAG